AGACCAUCUUUCUUUCGUGACUGCACAGACACGAAGGUUCAUAUUCUGGACAUCUGUGGCCAGCUUCAUCAUUUCCAUCUUCUUUUGCUUACGCCCUCUGUCCUCUAUACCCUUGUACAUUUUCCUGCUAAGAAGUAGGUCAGCUCUGGCAAUUCCUGAGGAUUCUGGGAGGUUUUGGAUCACCUGAGGUCGGUCUCACUCAGGACUGCUGAAUAUGAUCCUGAUAAUCUCGCUGUUGAGGCUGUGAUUCACGCCUGGUCACUUGCAAUUUGUU